GCGGUCGUGGCGGAAUGGUAGACGCGCAGCGUUGAGGGCGCUGUGAUGGCAACAUCAUGGAAGUUCGAGUCUUCUCGACCGCA
rnacentral:tRNA from 1 species